GGGCGUGUGGUCUAGGGGUAUGAUUUUCGCUUCGCAUCAGCUGCGUAACCUGUGAAAGGUCGAGGGUUCAAUUCCCUCCGCGUCCA
rnacentral:tRNA from 1 species